rnacentral:rRNA from 1 species
UACGGAGGGUGCAAGCGUUAUCCGGAUUCACUGGGUUUAAAGGGUGCGUAGGUGGGCAGGUAAGUCAGUGGUGAAAUCUCCGGGCUUAACCCGGAACUGCCGUUGAUACUAUUUGUCUUGAAUAUUGUGGAGGUAAGCGGAAUAUGUCAUGUAGCGGUGAAAUGCUUAGAUAUGACAUAGAACACCAAUUGCGAAGGCAGCUUACUACACAACGAUGACGCUG